rnacentral:rRNA from 1 species
UGGGGAAUCUUGGACAAUGGGCGCAAGCCUGAUCCAGCCAUGCCGCGUGAAUGAUGAAGGCCUUAGGGUUGUAAAAUUCUUUCAGCGGGGCAGAUAACGACGGUACCACGCGAAUCAGCCCCGGCUAACUCUGUGCCAGCAGCCGCGGUAAUACAGAGGGGGCAAGCGUUGUCCGGACUUACUGGGCGUAAAGCGCACGCAGGUGGUAACGCAAGUGGGGUGUGAAAGCCGCCAGCUCAACUGGCGGAGGCCAUCCCAAACUGCGUCACUUGAGGCCUGUAGAGGUAUGUGGAAUUGCCGGUGUAGUGGUGAAAUGCGUAGAGAUCGGCAGGAACACCCAGGGGGAAACCAGCAUACUGGACAGGUCCUGACACUCAGGUGCGACAGCGUGGGGAGCGAACCGGAUUAGAUACCCCGGUAGUCC